AUCCAGCUGACGAGUCCCAAAUAGGACGAAAUGCGCAUCCUGCU
rnacentral:hammerhead_ribozyme from 1 species